CAAUGAUCCCACAGAUGACACUUAUAUCCCUCAAGAAAUUAUAGGCAGACACACUACAAGGGCAGGUGUACAAAAUAGAUUGGAAAUUAUUGAAAGAUAUUUUUCAUAAUACAUGUCAUCACCCCGAGUUUUAAUUAUUUUAUAAGAAAUGUACACAAUUCUUUGAUAUUGAAGUUAACUCCACCCAUUUGAAAAAAUAAAACUUUUGCUUAUUUAUCAAAAA